rnacentral:rRNA from 1 species
CAAAAACAUGUCUUUUUGAUUUUAAUUUAAAGUCUGACCUGCCCAAUGAUUAUUUGAAUGGCCGCAGUAUUUUGACUGUGCAAAGGUAGCAUAAUCAUUAGUUUUUUAAUUGAAAGCUGGAAUGAAUGGUUUGAUGAAAAAAUAUCUGUCUCUUAGUAAAUUUUAUAGAAUUUUAAUUUUGAGUUAAAAAGCUCAAAUAGUUUAGGAAGACGAGAAGACCCUAUAGAGUUUUAUAUAUUAUUAUUUUAAUUAUUAGAUGAUUUUAAUUUAAUUAGAAUUUUAAUGUAUUUUGUUGGGGUGAUAUAAAAAUUUAAGUAACUUUUUAUUAUUUUAACACUAAUUAGUGAUUUUUUGAUCCUAUAUUUUAGAUUAUAAGAGUAAAUUACCUUAGGGAUAACAGCGUAAUUUUUUUAGAGAGUUCUUAUUGAUAAAAAAGUUUGCGACCUCGAUGUUGGAUUAAAGUUUAAUUUUGGUGGAGAAGCUGAAAAUUUAGGUCUGUUCGACCUUUAAAACUUUACAUGAUCU